rnacentral:rRNA from 2 species
AUUUACAUUUGAGUGAGUGGCGAACUGGUGAGUAACACGUGGGAAACCUGCCCAGAAGCGGGGGAUAACACCUGGAAACAGAUGCUAAUACCGCAUAACAACUUGGACCGCAUGGUCCGAGCUUGAAAGAUGGCUUCGGCUAUCACUUUUGGAUGGUCCCGCGGCGUAUUAGCUAGAUGGUGGGGUAACGGCUCACCAUGGCAAUGAUACGUAGCCGACCUGAGAGGGUAAUCGGCCACAUUGGGACUGAGACACGGCCCAAACUCCUACGGGAGGCAGCAGUAGGGAAUCUUCCACAAUGGACGAAAGUCUGAUGGAGCAACGCCGCGUGAGUGAAGAAGGGUUUCGGCUCGUAAAACUCUGUUGUUAAAGAAGAACAUAUCUGAGAGUAACUGUUCAGGUAUUGACGGUAUUUAACCAGAAAGCCACGGCUAACUACGUGCCAGCAGCCGCGGUAAUACGUAGGUGGCAAGCGUUGUCCGGAUUUAUUGGGCGUAAAGCGAGCGCAGGCGGUUUUUUAAGUCUGAUGUGAAAGCCUUCGGCUCAACCGAAGAAGUGCAUCGGAAACUGGGAAACUUGAGUGCAGAAGAGGACAGUGGAACUCCAUGUGUAGCGGUGAAAUGCGUAGAUAUAUGGAAGAACACCAGUGGCGAAGGCGGCUGUCUGGUCUGUAACUGACGCUGAGGCUCGAAAGUAUGGGUAGCAAACAGGAUUAGAUACCCUGGUAGUCCAUACCGUAAACGAUGAAUGCUAAGUGUUGGAGGGUUUCCGCCCUUCAGUGCUGCAGCUAACGCAUUAAGCAUUCCGCCUGGGGAGUACGGCCGCAAGGCUGAAACUCAAAGGAAUUGACGGGGGCCCGCACAAGCGGUGGAGCAUGUGGUUUAAUUCGAAGCUACGCGAAGAACCUUACCAGGUCUUGACAUACUAUGCAAAUCUAAGAGAUUAGACGUUCCCUUCGGGGACAUGGAUACAGGUGGUGCAUGGUUGUCGUCAGCUCGUGUCGUGAGAUGUUGGGUUAAGUCCCGCAACGAGCGCAACCCUUAUUAUCAGUUGCCAGCAUUAAGUUGGGCACUCUGGUGAGACUGCCGGUGACAAACCGGAGGAAGGUGGGGAUGACGUCAAAUCAUCAUGCCCCUUAUGACCUGGGCUACACACGUGCUACAAUGGAUGGUACAACGAGUUGCGAACUCGCGAGAGUAAGCUAAUCUCUUAAAGCCAUUCUCAGUUCGGAUUGUAGGCUGCAACUCGCCUACAUGAAGUCGGAAUCGCUAGUAAUCGCGGAUCAGCAUGCCGCGGUGAAUACGUUCCCGGGCCUUGUACACACCGCCCGUCACACCAUGAG